GGCAGGAUGGCGGAGUGGUCUAUCGCGCUAGACUCAAGAUAGUUAUCUUACACCCAGUAUUACUAGGUGUUCUAGUCCUCGAACGAGGGCGGGGGUUCGAAUCCCCCUCCUGUCA
rnacentral:tRNA from 1 species